UCUUUAUUCCUUUCCUUCAUUGGAGCUUUGAAUUAACUGAGCUGAAUUGAGACCAGCUGAAGAACAGUUCUAAUGUGCAUUCUGUUACAUAGCAAACUGGUAUCUUUACAGAGAAGGAAGGGGCAAAGUGGGUAGCUUCUGAGGAGGUCUUUGAAGGAAGAGUCACCAUCUACCUAGAUCAUAAUUGUACUCAAGGAACAUGAACUCAAUGGUCGCCACUUGUCAGAGUCCUCAGGAUGGUUCCCACCAACAGGGAAAGUGAGGACCUUAGUGUUGCCACACUUGUUCCUACUACUUUGGCCACCCAGAGAAGAUCAGCAGCAGCACUGGGAGACCAGCAGAAAGCAGAGGCAGGAGGACUUACAGGAAGCAUGGGACAAACCUGGAAGAGAAUCAGUGGAGAAGUUUCCCUUGUGUAUUGUUUUCUAAGAAGCAAGGAGUGUACAAUGCACAGCAUAACAUGCUGUUCUUCAGAGUUUAGGUCCUGAUCUCAAUUAGUCACCGUGAUUCUAAACAUUCAGAGCUGGGUGAUUACUGUAGUAUCAGAGAUAGGGGCAGCUCCUGGAUGAGAGCUGGGGUCUCAUGGGGCUGUUGUGCAUGUCUUUAAACUCCUGUUUGACAUUAGACAUGUAACAGUGGAUGAAUGCAAUGCAGCAAAUAAGUUAAAAAAAAAGCAUGAUUUUUACCGUUAUUUUAUUUCAAAUCAUUUCAAGUUUCAAAUCAAGGUCACUGACUUGUGACCACUGAAUACAGACAUGGCAUAAGAGAAGCAAACACACUUAAUCUGGUGUUAGCACGCUUUAAAAUGUGUUUUUAAACACCAAGAACUAAAUUAUGCCUCAGUGAAAUUUUACCAUUGACUUCCAAAACCGAAGCCCUAUUCAGCUUCAGUGAGUUCAGAAUCUCCUUAUGAAUUUUAAAUGCUGCUUCAGAUUAGAAGGUUCAUCCUAUACCCUUUUGGAGACGUAGCUCCUUUCCCUGCUUGAAGUCUGGCUGUUUUCUUUCACUCAUAUUUUGUCUUGAAUUAAUUGUAUUAUCUCAGUAUUGAGAAAUUUAAA